rnacentral:rRNA from 1 species
CGCAUCUGUGCAUGCAGCAUAUCAAUAAGCGGAGGAAAAGAAACUAACAAGGAUUCCCUUAGUAACGGCGAGUGAAGCGGGAAGAGCUCAAAUUUGAAAUCUUCAAGGUUUUACCUUGACGAAUUGUAGUUUAAAGAAGUGUUUUCUGUUGAAGUUUUGGUAAAAGUUCUCUGGAAUAGGACAUCAUAGAGGGUGAGAAUCCCGUAUUUGACCAUUAUUUUCAGCUGUGUGAUACACUUUCAAAGAGUCGGAUUGUUUGGGAAUGCAGUCCAAAAUGGGUGGUAAAUUUCAUCUAAAGCUAAAUAUUGGCGAGAGACCGAUAGCGAACAAGUACCGUGAGGGAAAGAUGAAAAGAACUUUGAAAAGAGAGUUAAACAGUACGUGAAAUUGUCAAAAGGGAAGCGUUUGACACCAGUGUUGUUUUCUCGAAAAUCAAUUAAAAAAGAGUUGGAUUUUGUUGUGUAUUGACCUUAACAGCUUGCAUUUCACAUUUUCUUAGCUUUUUUUAAUGCACUUUUCGUUUAACAAGUCAACAUCAGUUUCUUUUGUUGUAAAAAGGUCAUUGGAAGGUGGCUUUCUCUUUCGGAGAAAGUGUUUAUAGCCUUUGAUCUCCUGCAAUCGGAGAGACUGAGGUCUGCAGCGUAGAUCCUUCGGGGUUAGAUACAUUUGUGCUAAGUUAUAGCUUUUUAUAGACAACUUGUUGACUAUGAUUAGUCUUGUAGCUUACUCGCUUAUGCUAUUUUACCUACGCUUAGGAUGUUGACGCGCGUGUGUGCGUG